GGUAUUCAGAUUUUGCUCAAAAGAUUACUUGCUGUUCACAGGGAAAAUUAAACAAGCCUGUGAAACAGAACUUGGAAUUGUUUCUCAGUGCUGUCAGCCCAAGCAAGCAUCAAAGCAUAGUAAAUCAGUAUCUUGAAAAGAGGAAUUUUCUCUGCACAGCCUCCUCGAGAAGAAAUUAUCCAAGAUCUCUAUAAAUCAGUUCAGGAUUCUCAAGGGAACUUAGGGAACUACUUCUUGCAUUCUAUAGAUCAACUAAUCAAUGUAAACCCGAGAGGAUUAUAUUCUAAG